rnacentral:lncRNA from 1 species
AGAUGACGAUAGACGUCCCUCCUUGAAUUGCCGGUGUUGGGGUGGUCCGAGUGAAACGGAUCACCAACGGCUCUGGCAGAGCUACAUCAGGCUCCCCACCGGUUUGUGCAAACACCUCCUCCUUCUUAUCCUCAUAGUAUACUUGCAUUAAGUUUCUAUCGAGUAGAUCUUGCAUAAUCUUCUUGAACUCGAUACACUCGUCGAUAGAGUGUCCAGCGCAUGGGUGAAGUCCACAUGCUUUUCCCAAAUCGUAAUCACCGCUUAAAAACCCCAACUUCAAUAACUUCUUGAAAAUAAACCUUCUGGAACUUUGGAUUUCACCUGCAUCCCUUAUCAGCUCACCUUUCUUAAUCUCAAUGGCAUUUGUCGAGGCGCCUCCAUGCCCGGAUAAUGGAUUAGCAUCAAUGCUAGGUUUAUCUUCUUGAAACUUC